rnacentral:tRNA from 1 species
GCCAGUGUUGCUCAGUGGGUAGAGCGUCAGCCUGUGGACUGAGGGGGUCUCAGGUUCGAUUCCAGUCAAGGGCA